UGCACGUUCUUUUGGCGCUUGCACCUGAGCAUAGGAGGCUGCGUUACCCACUGGAGCGUAAAAGAGAGCUGUGCCUGAAUGCACUGUUGUCACGGAGCUAAAGGCAGUGAAUUCUGCUAAAAUGGUCAGGUUUUGGUAAAGAGUUGAAAACAUCGUGUGGAGAUCCUUUCCAUGCUACAGAUCCCCACGUCCCAGGCGCUCUUCCACAGAUCCAUAGAUUCCCAGUCCGGGUGGCUGGGUGGCGAGCCACCUGUGUUCGUGACUCUUGACUUUAGACGGAUUGCCAGGAUCAUCUUCUUCAUCUUCAUGGUGGUAGGACAAACACUAACACGAACUAAAAAGGGCCCAACGUUGGUGACUGAACUCUUGUCAACAAAGGCAAGUGAAACUGAGGAGGAACUAAGUUAGGUUUUUGAAUUAUUUAUUUCUUACUUAAAGCUCCCUGAUUCAGGUUAAAUGUGCACUGGCACAUCUCCAUCUUCCUUCUCUUUUGUCGUUUGUAACAUUCUCAGUGUUUUAUUCUGUCUUUUGUGUAUUAGGAAUGAACUGUGUAUUUAUCAAAAAAUGGACUAUUUGGUUUUUGGUGGCCUAUAUGUCUAUCCUUUUCUGAUCAAAAGUCAGACUAUUCAUGGUUAGGGUGAGGCUUAGGCUCAGGUUAGGGUUUUUUUUUUGGGGUU